rnacentral:rRNA from 1 species
GGGUGAGUAACACGUAUGGAACCUGCCCGUAGCAGGGGGAUAAGCGGAAGAAAUUCCGUCUAAUACCGCGUAAUAACUCCGAGGGGCAUCUCUUGGGGUUUAAAGGGUAACACCGGCUACGGAUGGCCAUGCGGCGCAUUAGCUAGUUGGCGGGGUAACGGCCCACCAAGGCGACGAUGCGUAGGGGUUCUGAGAGGAAGGUCCCCCACACUGGUACUGAGACACGGACCAGACUCCUACGGGAGGCAGCAGUGAGGAAUAUUGGUCAAUGGGCGCGAGCCUGAACCAGCCAAGUCGCGUGAGGGAAGACGGUCCUAUGGAUUGUAAACCUCUUUUGUCGGGGAGCAAAAGACGCCACGCGUGGCGUUCCGAGAGUACCCGAAGAAAAAGCAUCGGCUAACUCCGUGCCAGCAGCCGCGGUAAUACGGAGGAUGCGAGCGUUAUCCGGAUUUAUUGGGUUUAAAGGGUGCGCAGGCGGAAGAUCAAGUCAGCGGUAAAAUUGAGAGGCUCAACCUCUUCGAGCCGUUGAAACUGGUUUUCUUGAGUGAGCGAGAAGUAUGCGGAAUGCGUGGUGUAGCGGUGAAAUGCAUAGAUAUCACGCAGAACUCCGAUUGCGAAGGCAGCAUACCGGCGCUCAACUGACGCUCAUGCACGAAAGUGUGGGUAUCGAACAGGAUUAGAUACCCUGGUAGUCCACAUAGUAAACGAUG